rnacentral:tRNA from 1 species
GGGCCCUUAGCUUAGUCUGGUUAGAGCCCCCGGCUCAUAACCGGGUGGUCGGUGGUUCAAAUCCGCCAGGGCCCA